UCCAGACUCCUACGGGAGGCAGCAGUGGGGAAUAUUGCACAAUGGGGGAAACCCUGAUGCAGCGACGCCGCGUGAGCGAAGAAGUAUUUCGGUAUGUAAAGCUCUAUCAGCAGGGAAGAAAUUGACGGUACCUGAGUAAGAAGCUCCGGCUAAAUACGUGCCAGCAGCCGCGGUAAUACGUAUGGAGCAAGCGUUAUCCGGAUUUACUGGGUGUAAAGGGAGCGUAGGCGGCCUGCCAAGUCUGAUGUGAAAUACCGGGGCUCAACCCCGGGGCUGCAUUUGGAACUGUGCUGCUAGAGUGUCGGAGAGGCAGGCGGAAUUCCUAGUGUAGCGGUGAAAUGCGUAGAUAUUAGGAAGAACACCAGUGGCGAAGGCGGCUUUCUGGACUGAAACUGACGCUGAGGCACGAAAGCGUGGGGAGCGAACAGGAUUAGAUACCCUCGUAC
rnacentral:rRNA from 1 species